AUUGCACCAUGGAUCUACAGUUUAUGCUCACUAAGAAGAGAUGCUCAUCUGUUUCCCCAUGGAUGUAUAAUUGAACCUCCCUGUUAAGUGAUGCUGGUGUGUUUCCUGUGGAUCCUAAAUUUGAGCCUCCCUGUGAAGGGGUGAUUGUAUUUUUCAACUUUUAUCUUCACUUGAGCUUCCCUGUGAAGUGAUGCUGGUCUUUUUCACCAUGGAUCUAUACUUAACCUCACAAUGAAGGUAUGAUGAUCUGUUUCUCAUGAAUCUAUAUUUGAGCCUCCUUUAGGUUAUUCUCAUCUGUUUCCCAGUGGAACUUACAGUUGAGCCUCCCUGUGAAGUUAUGCUGAUCUAUUGUACCAUGGAUCUACAGUUCAGCCUCACUGUGAAGUGAUACUGGUCUCUGUUACAGUGGAUCCUACAGUGGAGCAUCCCUGUGAAGUGAUGCUUCUUUCUUCACCAUGGAUAUACAAUUGAGCCUCCCUUUAAUGUGAGGCUGAUAUGUUCACUGUGGAUCUACAGUUGAGCAUCCCCUGUAAAGUGAUCCUGAAUUUUUUUACCAUGGAUCUAGAGUUGAGCCUCACUGUUAAGUAGUGCUGGUAUUUUCCACCCAGAAUCUACAGUUGAAUCUCCAUGUGAAGUGAUUCUGAUCUGUUUCACUGUUUCAUUGAGAUCUACAAUUGAGCCUCACUAUGAAGUGAUGCUGAUCUGUUUCACUGCAGAUCUAUAGCUGAGCCUACUUGUGAAAUGUUGUUGAUAAUUUUCCCUGUGGAUCUACAGUUGAUCUUUCCUGUGAAGUGAAGCUGCUUUCUUCACCGUGGAUCUACAAUUGAGCCUCCCUCUGCUGUGAUUCUGAUCUGUUUCCAUGUGGAUCUACUGUUGAACCUUCCCGUGAAGUGAUGCUGGUGUGUUUCCUGUGGAUCCUAAAUUUGAGCCUCCCUGUGAAGGGAUGAUGGUAUUUUUCAACUUUUAUCUUCACUUGAGCUUCUCUGUGAAGUGAUGCUGGUCUAUUUCACCAUGGAUCUACAGUUGAUAUCCUCACAAGGAAGGGAUGCUCAUCUGUUUCCUCGUGGAUCUUCAGUUAGCUGCACUGAGGUUAUGCUGAUCUCUUUCCCAAUGCAUCUUACAGUUGAGCCUCCCUGUGAAGUCACGAUGAUGUGUUUCUUUGUACAUCUGCCAGUUCAACAUUCCUGUGAGGCAGUGCUUUUCUGUUGCACAGUGGAUCUAGAGUUGAGCCUCCCAUGUGAAGUGAUGCUGAUUUGUUUACCAUGGAUCUACAUUGAGCUUCCCUGUGAAGUUAUGCUGAUCCAUUGCACUGUGGAUCUACAGUUGAGCCCCACUGUGAAGUGAUGCUGAUCUCCUUUACAGUGGAUCCUACAGUUGAGCAUCGCUGGGAAGUGAUGGUGAUUGGUUCACGGUGGAACAACAGUUGAGCAACCCUGUGAAGUGAUCCUGAUCUCUUUCACCAUAGAUAUAGAGUUGAGCCUCACUGUAAAGUAGUGCUGGUCUUUUCCACCCUGAAUCUACAGUUACUCUCCCUGUUAAGUGAUGCUGAUCUGUUUUCUCUGAAUUUCCAGUUGAGCCCCUCUGUGAAGUGAUGCGAAUACGUUUACUAUGGAUCUACAGUGGAGCCUCCCAAAGAAUUUAUGCAGAUCUGUUUCCCCAUGUUUCUUAUAGUUGAGCCUCCCUGUAAAAUGUUGAUGAUCUAUUAUUGCACCGUGGAUCUAUAGUUGAGCCUCAUGUGAAGUGAUACUGGUCUGUUUCAUCAUGGAUCUACAGUUGAGCCACUCUGUGAAGUAAUGCUGAUUUUUUUUCACCAUGG
ensembl:lncRNA